rnacentral:rRNA from 1 species
GAUGAACGCUGGCGGCGUGCUUAACACAUGCAAGUCGAACGUGAUCCAUUAGCAAUAGUGGUGAAAGUGGCGAACGGGUGAGUAACACGUAGGUAACCUGCCCUGAAGCGGGGGAUAACGGCUGGAAACGGUCGCUAAUACCGCAUGAGUCCAUUGAAACGGGAGUGAGAUGGAGAAAAUUACGGUGCUUCAGGAGGGGCCUGCGUCCGAUUAGCUAGUUGGUGAGGUAACGGCUCACCAAGGCGACGAUCGGUAGCUGGUCUGAGAGGACGAUCAGCCACACGGGAGCUGAGACACGGUCCCGACUCCUACGGGGGGCAGCAGUGAGGAAUAUUGGGCAAUGGGCGGAAGCCUGACCCAGCAACGCCGCGUGAAGGAUGAGGGCCUUCGGGUUGUAAAGCUCUUUCAGUGGGGAAGAUAAUGACGGUACCCACAGAAGAAGCCCCGGCUAACUACGUGCCAGCCGCCGCCGUAA